CGGGCACUUCAACUAAAUAGCGGUUCGAUCGCAGCGCUCGUUCACACAGUUUCUUACGACCGUAGUCUUGGGGAGCCUUGAGCAAAAAUCGCAACCUAACUACAAUUCUAAGAGUGAUCAGGAUGUCCAUCAAGAAAAUAUUCGCCCGUCAGAUCUAUGACUCUCGGGGCAACCCGACUGUCGAGGUAGAUCUGACCACUGCCAAGGGAGUCUUCCGUGCUGCCGUUCCUUCCGGCGCGUCUACCGGAAUUUAUGAGGCACUUGAGAUGCGAGAUGGUGACAAGGCUGUUCAUCACGGUAAAGGCGUUCUGAAGGCUGUCAACAACGUGAACAAUGUCAUUGCACCCGCGUUGCUUAAGGAAUCGUUUGACGUCAAGGAUCAACAAAAGAUCGAUGAAUUCAUGCUCAAACUAGACGGCACUGACAACAAGGACAAACUUGGUGCCAACGCUAUUCUUGGAGUGUCGAUGGCUGUGUGCAAGGCUGGAGCUGCUGAGAAAGGCGUGCCCUUGUACCGUCAUAUUGCCGAUCUUGCUGGUAACUCAAAAAUCGUCCUCCCAGUACCAGCCUUCAACGUAAUUAACGGCGGUUGCCACGCUGGAAACAAGCUGGCCAUGCAAGAGUUCAUGAUUCUGCCGACAGGCGCAGCAUCAUUCACGGAAGCUAUGCGCAUGGGCAGUGAGACCUACCAUCAUCUCAAGGCCGUGAUCAAGAAGAAGUUCGGGCUGGCUGCCACCGCAGUCGGUGAUGAGGGUGGCUUUGCUCCAGACUUCCAGGACAACAAAGAGGCACUCGAGCUGAUUAAAGAAGCUAUUGCCAUCUCUGGAUAUACGGGCAAGAUUGAGAUUGGCAUGGAUGUUGCUGCCUCGGAGUUCUGUCAAAACAAGAAAUACAACCUUGGUUUCAAGAACCAGCCACCGGUACCAGAAUCAGAGCACCUGACGUCGGCUCAGCUCCAGGCAGUGUACCAGGGUUUCAUCAAGGACUACCCUAUUGUGUCCAUUGAGGAUCCGUUCGAUCAGGAUGACUGGGAGGGCUGGAGUUCAAUUACCGCCAACACCACUAUCCAGAUCGUUGGUGACGAUCUCACUGUCACUAACCCUAAACGCAUCCAGAUGGCCUGCGAUAAGAAGGCCUGCAACUGUCUGCUGCUCAAGGUAAACCAAAUCGGUUCAAUCUCCGAGGCCAUUCAGGCCCACUUGCUGGCUAAAAAGAACGGCUGGGGAACAAUGGUGUCCCACCGCUCGGGUGAGACAGAAGACUGUACCAUUGCCGAUAUCGUUGUUGGUCUUAGCACCGGCCAAAUCAAAACCGGUGCGCCCUGUAGAUCGGAACGUCUUGCCAAAUACAACCAGAUCCUGCGCAUUGAGGAAGAAUUGGGCACCGCUGCCGUGUAUGCCGGGAAGAGCUUCAGGAAACCUCAAUAAAUUAACAAAGAGAAUGGGCUAUUAUGGGCUGCGCUGAAGUGGAACCAAUAUGGCGUUACGUUCUCUUAGUAUCCAGCCAUGACGUACAGCACACAACCAAUGUCCAUGACCUGUCUGGGAUCCAAUCAACGUAACCUGUUCCCCCGACCAUAGGCUGUACUUGGAGCUUUAGUUAUUCGCCGGUGUUAAGUGAACCUCUAUCCAAAACUUAAAAUUGCUAAUGCAGCUAUUAAUAGCAUAACGUUUGCUAGGAACUUGUUGUAGUUACCUGAUCUGAAUGGGAUAUCUUUUCAUCUCUACAAGUGUCUAACACUCUACGGCGCCACCGGAUUUAGGGUGUGCAGUCAGAUGGUCCAGCCAGCAACAGAUCGAUGCCCGUUGUCGAGAGUGGAAACACCUGAUCAUCACCCAAAGAAGACAGUAACAUCUGCAGAAAACACCGAUUUAACUAUAAGAAUAACUAUCAAAGCAGGAACUUCACAAACAGAAUAUUUUACAUUAGAGGUAACAACAGCACUUCUAAUAUAUAUAUAUAUAUAUAUAUAUAUAUAUAAUAUAUAUAUAUAUAUAUAUAUAUAUGCUGCCUCGAAGGUAACCCUAAAAAAUGUUCAAGCUGUUACUUCAUUCAAUCGAGGAAGUCAAAAUGAGCGAGUUGAAAGCCUGCUUUUGUGGCAUGACAUAAAAAUCGAUUUAAUUAAUAUCAUGUAUGUAUUUGACGGAGGUAGACUGUUCGCAUUCUUUCAAUCCGUUGAAACGAUUUUCGGUACUCGAAACCACGUAGUAUGAGGAUUAGCUAUUGUGUCAUUGUAUUCGACAGUUCCUAUAACGAAUUUACACCGGUGAUAAUCACGAAUGCAUUACCAUGCAAUCAUUUGCAAUGUUGUCGUCGAAGUGGCAGACCUGGUUGGACAGUACCUAGUGGAAAUUCCAUUAUGAAGACAAUAACAAUAAAAAUAAUCCUGUAACAUGUUUGGUUGAUGCUGCGUUUUUUACUGAAAUAUAGCAUUUCUCUUUCUAUUAAUAUAUUACUAAUUUAAUCUUUCUAUAUUCAUUUUUUGUUGCAGUUUUUACGGGAAUAUCAGAUUUAAAAAAGAACAUUUAGCUUUUAAUACACAGCACGGAGCGCAACAAUUGCGCUAUCCGUUUUUGUACUAAGCUCUUCAGAAAGAGUCUUCUGCGAUUUAUUUGCACUGCAUCUUUCUGCCAUUUUUCUUGUUUAAUAAUCGUUAUUUCUGCUAUUUUGACUGAUUUUAAUUAUAAAGUUAUCGCAGACGUUCAUUUGGGUUAGUUACUUAUUGCUAUACCAUUGUUCAGUUUUUUCGUUUCCCAUUUAUGUAAUCGGCGUAUAUUAGUACGGGUUCUAGCAAAAUUCUCCACAUAUUUGUCACUUAAAUUGAAGCCCUUUGUGAAGACUUAUUGCUUCACGUUGUUGUCUGUUGGUUUUUAAUUUACCUCUUGUACACCUACAAAAUUAUUUAAAUUCUUACAAAUUAAAAAUACUGACAUAUUUGCUUACUGAUUUGCGAACGCAACGAGUACAGAAAAAUCCUAGAGAAGCCUGACAGCUGAUAACCCAAAGUAGAUUGACAACACUUUGACACGUAACUGAGAUUAAAUCUGGUUACAACAACAACGGUGUUACGAUGCAUAUAUCGAUAUUCUGUUUAUGUAAACAUAAGUACGCUUAGUUUAUCUCGACGUAAUCAAUAACUAGGAAGCACGUUAGUGCCGUCAGAAAAAUCGGAUAAACCCAUUAAACUAACUAUAAUAUCGCUUCCGCAAGUCGAUUUUAACUGCUCUUAAGACAGUGUCAGUGCAGUAAGCGAUAACAACUGAAACACUUCGGACUUAAAUGUGAGAACCAAACAGCUUCUUUCCGCCGGUUUAAAGCCUUCAUUCUUUCAAUAAAUUUUCGAGCACUUUCAAUCCCGGUA